rnacentral:tRNA from 1 species
AUUUAAAUAGUUUAAUUAAAAUAUUGAAUUGUGAUUUCAAAGAUAUAUUUAUUUAUAAUAUUUUAAAUU